UACAGAGGGUGCGAGCGUUGUCCGGAAUCACUGGGCGUAAAGGGCGCGUAGGCGGCUUGGUAAGCGUGCGGUGAAAGCUCAGGGCUCAACCCUGAGUCUGCCGUGCGAACUGCCAGGCUAGAGCACGGUAGAGGCACAUGGAAUUCCGGGUGUAGCGGUGGAAUGCGUAGAGAUCCGGAAGAACACCGGUGGCGAAGGCGGUGUGCUGGGCCGUAGCUGACGCUGAGGCGCGACAGCGUGGGGAGCAAACAGG
rnacentral:rRNA from 1 species